UGGGGAAUAUUGGACAAUGGGCGCAAGCCUGAUCCAGCCAUGCCGCGUGAGUGAUGAAGGCCCUAGGGUUGUAAAGCUCUUUCACCGGUGAAGAUAAUGACGGUAACCGGAGAAGAAGCCCCGGCUAACUUCGUGCCAGCAGCCGCGGUAAUACGAAGGGGGCUAGCGUUGUUCGGAUUUACUGGGCGUAAAGCGCACGUAGGCGGACUAUUAAGUCAGGGGUGAAAUCCCGGGGAUCAACCCCGGAACUGCCUUUGAUACUGGUAGUCUUGAGUUCGAGAGAGGUGAGUGGAAUUCCGAGUGUAGAGGUGAAAUUCGUAGAUAUUCGGAGGAACACCAGUGGCGAAGGCAGCUCACUGGCUCGAUACUGACGCUGAGGUGCGAAAGCGUGGGGAGCAAACAGG
rnacentral:rRNA from 1 species